GUUUGAUUUUAAGCGAAUUUUCUGUCAACAUUUUUUUAGUCAAUUUGGUUGAUACUUUUAAAAUUAUAUUUUUUCCUUCGUGUAUAGACAUUUAUUUAUUUUUAAUCUGCUGGUAUCUAAAAUACCUGUCAUCUAAAAGGAUUAGAAUAGUCUCAAGUAACCGUCGUACUGAGCGUAAUAAAACGUAAUAAAAUAGAUGAUUUCUGGUGUCAAAUAUUAUUCAAAUCAGUAAAGUAAAAUGGCUGUGUUAGUGACAAAAAAUAUCGUUAGGUUUCUAAAGUGAAAAUUUCGCUCAAAUUAUCUGAUAUCUCAAUUAAAG
rnacentral:misc_RNA from 1 species